rnacentral:rRNA from 1 species
CAGUCGACGGUGAAGGAGAGCUUGCUCUUUGGAUCAGUGGCGAACGGGUGAGUAACACGUGAGCAAUCUGCCCUUGACUCUGGGAUAACUGCGGGAAACUGUAGCUAAUACCGGAUACGACCUGGAGAGGCAUCUUUUUGGGUGGAAAGAAUUUUGGUCAAGGAUGAGCUCGCGGCCUAUCAGCUUGUUGGUGAGGUAAUGGCUCACCAAGGCGACGACGGGUAGCCGGCCUGAGAGGGUGACCGGCCACACUGGGACUGAGACACGGCCCAGACUCCUACGGGAGGCAGCAGUGGGGAAUAUUGCACAAUGGGCGCAAGCCUGAUGCAGCAACGCCGCGUGAGGGACGAAGGCCUUCGGGUUGUAAACCUCUUUUAGUAGGGAAGAAGCGACUGGGUUUUCCUGGGAGUGACGGUACCUGCAGAAAAAGCACCGGCUAACUACGUGCCAGCAGCCGCGGUAAUACGUAGGGUGCAAGCGUUGUCCGGAAUUAUUGGGCGUAAAGAGCUCGUAGGCGGUUUGUCGCGUCUGCUGUGAAAACCCGAGGCUCAACCUCGGGCCUGCAGUGGGUACGGGCAGACUAGAGUGCGGUAGGGGAGAUUGGAAUUCCUGGUGUAGCGGUGGAAUGCGCAGAUAUCAGGAGGAACACCAAUGGCGAAGGCAGAUCUCUGGGCCGUAACUGACGCUGAGGAGCGAAAGCAUGGGGAGC